rnacentral:lncRNA from 1 species
UUUUAAUGAUUCAAAAUAUGUUCUACGCAGCCUAUUGCAAAGGCGGUGGGAGACUGGUAUUACGACAGGAGUCCAUUCCAAAAGAUUGAUUGCCCUUACCCCUGCAACCCAUUGCCAGAGAGUUGCUUUUGAAUGGACCUAUUAAUGUAAUGUACACACACAUAAAAUUACAGAUCUUGUGUCAAAGCAGAACAAAAUUUAAGAGUCAAGAUCAUUGAGUAGUCAUCAAUGAGCUUGACUGAGUGAGAAUAAAAUGGAUAAAGAGUAUAUGAUUGAUUGAUCAAGUCAAUGAAAUAAUUAAACAAAGGCAAACCACUGCACUCAUGUGCUGGGUGUCUUCUAUCAUUUUCUUAUGUAAUUUAUUGUUAGAACUUCAGUGAAAUAAAUAUUCAUUACUUGUUGUUGGAUUGUUUGCAGUAGAAGAUCAAUUAUUUAGAAAUCAUUUUGUUUAAUUUAGUGAGGGAGAAUGUCAAUUUGUCCCCUUCUGUAAUUAAUAUAUACCAUUUAUCCUCAUAUUGUUUUUAUAAUAUUCAAUAACCCUGAUAGCAUAAGUUCACAAUAUUGUCAUUAUUUUCAAAUACAUUUAUAUUUAUAUUUAUUAUAGAUUAAAUAAAUCGCAUAAAUAGAAAUUAAAAUGAAAAAAAUUAACUAUUAAAAACAAGAAAUAUAUAUUUUGAUAUGAACAAAAAUAAUAAUUUUUUUGCUUGUACCUUUUGAUUUUGUAAAAGUUUUCUUAUAAUAAAUAUUUUAAAAUAUUUUAAAAUUAAAUGUAAAAACUUCAAGAAAAAUAUUUUAUUAUUUAUUUUAUAAUAAUUUUUUAUUUAUCAUCAAGUUUUCUUAUAAUUAUUUUUUUAUCAUUUUAUAAUAAUUUUUGUUAUAUAUUUUUCUAUAAGAAACUGAUUAUAAAAUAAAAAAGUACAAGGAAAUAUUUUAUUAUUAGUUUUUUUCACAUCAAAACAUAUAUUUCUUAUUUUUAAUAGUUAAUUUUUUUCAUUCAUGUGAUUUAUUUUGUCUAUAAUAAACAUAAAUAAAAAUGUAUUUGAAAAUAAAGACAAUAUUGUAAACUUAUACUGUAAGGCAGUUUAUUGGCUAUUAUAAAAACAGUAGAGGAUAAAUAAUAUAUAUUUAUUACAGUAGAGAGGAAAUUGAUAAUCUCCCAAUUUAGUAAUGUCUUAAGAACCUCCUUUUUCCUUUUAACCUUUCAUAGUAAUGGACUAUUAUGUGAAUGCAUAGUUAUUUUUUAUUGCAUAAAUACCAAGUUUAAUUAAAGCUAAUAUUAUAAAAAUAAAAUGCUCUUGGAUCUUGGCAACUUUUUUUCCUUAAAAAAAUACACUAAUUAUUUAUUUUUUUAAAAUUAACUACUCUAAAAUUUUUUAUAAUUCCAGAAGUAUUUUAUGCAAUCAAUAAAAUAAGGAAAAUUGUCAUUGCCCCACCGUCCUUUUACCUUUUGUUCAGUUAAGCACACAAAAUUUUAACAUGUUCUUUGCACAAUCUUUCUUUUUAAAUUUGUAUCAAUUAGCCACUUUUACACUAACACCGUUGAAUAAUUUAAACGAAAUAAUAAUUUUACCCCUAAAUAAAUUAAAAGACCAUUUUAUCUAAUUUCUGGAUUGUCAUUUCGUUUAAAUUAUUCAACGGUGUUAGUGCAAAAAUGACUAAUUUAUACAAAUUUUAAAAGAAAGGUGGUGCAAAGAACAUGUUAAAAUUUUGUAGCGGUUAAAUGAACAUAAGGUAAAAUAAAUGUGGUGUAAUGAUAAAUUUCCAUAAAUAAAUAGUAAAAUAAAUGUGGUGUAAUGAUAAUUUUUCAUUAAAAAAAUAGUAUUUUUUUUGGGGAAAGGAACAAAUAAUAUUUUUUGAACAAAAAAAUUCAUCAAUUUGAAGUUCAAAUCAAAAUAACACUAAAAGUUCACUCUUCAUGUCUUUAAGAACAUAGAUCAAUUAUAUUACACCCCAACAUUUGAGUUCAUACUCCCAAAUAUCCCCCCCAAAAAAAAAUCAUGUGAUAGACAUCUAUCCAUAUCUUAAAUUUCAUCUUAAAUGAUGUGUCAUUCAGAAAAUUAAUUUUUUAUAAUAAUUAAAAAAUUAAUUUUUAUAAUAAAAAACCUUUCAAUAAUUAAAAAGAAAAUACCAAGAAACUCCAGCUCUUGACAUGAGCCAUAAAAAAAAAAUUAUAAUGUGCCGUCAAGAUACAUAUCUUAUUGGGUUUAAAAAUGGAGUGACCUGAUUUGUAGACGGUCCAAAUUUGAAGACGGUCCAUCCUUGGCCCACCCCACAAUUUCACCAUUGCAUACUUACAUUGACAAUGAAUACCCUUCUCUCGGGGUUUUUAAUUAAAGAUGCCCAAAAAAUGGGAUAUUUAAUUAAAUAUAUCUUAUGGUUGAAAAUUAUUCAUAUAUUUUUUUAUACAGUACAUUAUCUCAAAUAUCCUUAAAGAAAAAUAUGAAACACAUAUAAAAUAUAAAACACAUAAUUAAAGAUGCCCUAAAAAUGGGGUAUUUAGUUAAAUACCGACUAUUAUCGUGUAUUUAAAUUAAGUAUUCCUUGAAUUAUGUGAUCAUCCUAUUAUAUCACAUAAAUUGUACAAAACUAUCUUAUUGUCUUUGAAUAUUACACUUAACAAAAAAUAAUUUAACACUAUCAGUUGGAAAUACCUGACUGUAAUCUUGUGUAUAUGAAAAUACCUAAUUAUAGUUGUGUACCUAUAAAAAUACCUGACUGUAUUAAUGUAUUUUAGCCGCUCAUUCCUUCAAUAUAUAUGAACACCCUGAUAUAUAACAAACAUUAUACAAAACUAUCUUCUUUCUCAAUAAUAUACUUAACCAAAAAAAAAAGUGAAUACUGAUGUAAAAUCAUCUUUAAUGAUAUCAAAUGUCAACAACAUCCCCAUUGCAACUAUUACAUCUCAUGAUAACUAAUCAAAAAAAUGCCAAAAUCACAACAAUAGAGUUUUUAAGGGUAUGACACUAUGUAGUUGGUUUUAACGACAUGUGUCCAAAUAAUUUGACAGCCAAUGCUUUUCGAAAUUGUUUAACAUUAUCCUAUUGACAAUAUUUUUUGCCGUCAAGGCCAUGGGUUAGGACCUCCAAGUACUACAACAAAAAUGCUUCACAAUCACUACUAAUAAAAUUCAUAUACAUCAAUAAUAAAAUCACCAUUCUUAUUGAAAUAUAUAUAUAUAUGAUGUACUCAAUUGCAUCCCUUGAUUUUAUUGCGGGAUAUUACGUACUCACUAGGAUGAUCUUUAAUUAUGUCUUCCACUACAUCUAGUGAUAAUCGAUUAGAAGUCUUUGCUUUGAAGUAUUCAGAUUCCUUAAUUUUCAGUUCCAUUUAUAAACAUAAAAUAUUUUAAUUAUAAUAUAAAACGACUGAAAAGUUGCAUAAUAAUAUAUUCUAAACCAAUAAAAAAAAAUUACAUGACACACCAGUCGAGUAAAGCAAUCAUUACACGACUAUUGUCGAGCAAAACAUUCAUUACAUGACUAUAGCCGAGUAAAGUAUUCAUUACAUGAUUAUAGUCGAGUAAAGCAUUCAUUACACGACUACAACAAGCAUCAAAUAUGUUUUGACUUCUAUAUUUCCUUGGAUUUAAAUAAUUUCAUGAUAAAACAUAAUGCUUACAACAUAAAACUAAAUAAAAGCUAAAUAUGUUUGGACUUCUAUAUCUCCUUGGAUUCAAAUCUCUGUACAUAAUUUUAAGUGAAUGAUAGUAUGGAAAAGAAUUUACUUUAAUAAGGCUUGUCAAUGAAUAGAGAGAAUGAAAAUUUUGUUUAUUAUAAAAAAUAUAUUGAUGGACCAUUAAAUAGCCAAAUGGACAUUUAAUCAUUAACAUAUUAUUUGAAAUCCAUUCAAUAUGGGUAAGAAAUAACUAGAAUUGUAAAUUGAAGAUUCUAUAGCAAAUAAUAAAGAAAACCCAAAUUGCGACAAAAUGAAUGCAUACAGAGCUGAAGAAAAUUAAUAUAUAAUUCCCACGGAUGAAGUCCAGCUACAAACAACAAAUAAAAUUAAACGCAUAUCUAAUAGAUAAAUCAGUGUAGCCAUAACCGAGUAGUCACAAGGAUAAUAUUUGCUCUAUCCAAUUCCCUCUGAAUAUUUAAUUAGGAACUCCUAUAACCAUUACAAGGAGAGUAAGCUCCCUUGAAAUCACUCUCUUCAAUUUCAACUCCACAAGUUCAAGAAGCUUCAUUACAUGAAUCAGGAAGAAACAUUAUCAGCAAGCAUGCAAGUGAAACAAAUAACUCGGCUAACUACAACAAUGACCAAAAUCACGUGAGCAAUUUUUUUUUUAAACCCUAAUGCAUAUAAACCCAACAAUUAUGAAUCCUAAAUCCUCUUUAUGAAGUAAAAAUUAAGUGUAAAUGUGGUAAAUAACCUUUAAUUCGGUGAAUUUCCGGCCUAUAGUUUGGUGAAUUUCCAAUGAAAGUAGCGGAUUUGUGGUGUUAGAACCAGCAGCAGAAGUAUCCUGGGCGUUGAAAUAUUAGAUUUUGAAUUGCUGUAAUUUUGUAAUUGCACAUUGAAAAAAAGCAUAUAUGAGAACAUUUUAAUUAUGAGGGUGUAUUUAGGUAAAUACCCUACUUUUGGGGUAAGGCGUGGACAAAUUCCUGCUUCUCUCUCAAUCUCAAAAACACAACCUUCGCCCUUCGGUUGCGGUUGCAGUGUUAAUGGAUUGGAGUUUUGUACACAAAACUUGGGAAAAAUGGGCUUCUACCAGUGUUGGCUCUUCCGGUAAUGUACCCUCCAAGAACCCCCUCGGGCUUUUCAUUAUUUUAGUUAUUACCACGUUAGAUAUAUUAGAUUUAUAAUUUAUAUAAUAAAAGGCUGCUGAUCAUGCCAGUGCAAGAGCUAUAGAGUAAGCAGCCAUUGAUUUUUGUUUCUAAAUUUUGCUUGUAGGUGAGCCCUUGAAGGCGGCUUUGCUUAUCAACCAGGACCCCACUGGUCCCUCUCGUUUGUUAUCCACUAUGUCAGCUUCGUGCUUUUUUUUUUUUUUAAUAUAUAUUUUAAAUACCCUUUUAUAUAUAUGUUGUUCUGUUCAUAAGCAGUGAAAUUUUGAAGCUUCGUUAUGGUUUGUGCAGUGCAGAACAAGAAAGGUAUCAAGGCCGACGCGAUUGACUUGACUGAAUUUGUUGAUUUUGUCAAACUCAAUAAACUUCAGACUGACUGCUUUGUUAUUGGACAAAAAACCAAUGCAAGCUAUUCGUGUCUCCUUUACAUUUGUGAGUGAAAUUCAAUUGUUGGACUUGAAUUUUGCGGUGAAUUAUUUAUUAUUGCUAGAGUUGCUAGUAAGUUGAUCGUAAUGGUUUUAUCAUAUUGAUGACAAUUGACGCAGACGUAGUUACCUCGAUUCAUGAGAAUAUGACAAUUUUUAUAAGAGGAAAAGAGAGAGUCGUUCUCUUAAUCAAGAAAAAUACCAUUAAAUUUAGAAUAUAAAAAUUAAUGGCUGAAAAAUUAACAUGUGCGUGAUCGGUCAAAUAUUCUAAAUCCUUGAAAUUAAAAUAACUUGAAAAAUUAAUAUUGAAAAAAAAUAAAUGAAAUUGUCACUUUCGAUCACAUAAUCAAUGAAAAUCAGGAUAUAAUCAACACCUAUUUAUUUUAUUUCUAAAUUAUGACUUUUUCAUUAUUAUUCAAAGAAGGGAGUUUUUCUUUAAAAAACUCUCACCAUAAUAUAAGUGGCUUAAACCUUUUUUUUUGUUUUGAAAUAUAAAUUAACUUAAAAGCAAACAAGUAGUAAAAUUAUCUUUUAAGAAGGCUUUAUAUAUGCAGAGAGGACUAGUCCACCUAUGUCAAUUCUUCCAAGUGAGUGAAAUUGUGUGACUUUAUUUAAUUAGAAGGAGCAACAACUUCAAUCUCUAUUUAUACGUCAUUAUCCUUUAGCUAUAUUUGUGCGACUUUAUUUAUACGUAGGGAAAUGAGUUAACAAGUUAUAUUUUCCAAGCACCAAGGUAAAUUACUCCUUAGGUCAUUAUGGUCAAUAAAUGAGUCUUCAUUUUACAAUUAAUAAAUGUAUAAAGUAUUUGAACUAAUUAAUAGUAUAGUAUUAUAUAUGUUAAAUUCUUCAAAAAGUAAGAUAGAAUGUAUACUUGAUGUUUGAGGGAAAAAUAGGAAAGGCAAUAGAGCGCCACGUGUUAACCAAUGGAAUGAUUUCAGCACAAUCGGAGGGUACCCUGCACAAUCCGAGGUGCCCGGCAUGACUUGAGGAACACCGUGUCAUGCUAAUCCCCAAAAACACUCACACUCCAAAAAAUAGGUUUUCUUCAACCUUAAACCCUAAUUUACAGAGGGCUAGCUAGCUCUCUUUGCCAUAAAAGCUUGAGUUUGCUAACUUGAGCGUCGGAGUGUGAACGCCGGGGUACCCCGGCUUCACCUCUAACCUCUAUUUCAUUGUUUUGCAGGCGUGAAGCUCAUUUUGAAGGACACCUCUCUCAUCUCUGACCUUCCACCAUUGUUACCACUCUCUCUCCCAUUCUCACUUCCUCCGAAUUUCAGAUACACCGCACCGCACACAAUAAACUAGUGAGGUACCCCAUCUCCCCCAAAAAUAUAAAUUCAUUGUUCAAGAUUGAUUUUGGAUUUUCCUACCCCAAAACAGUUGAAAACAAUUGGCGCCGUCUGUGGGGAACUCGCACAAAAAGCCUCCUCCGCGGUUACCAAACUAGUUGUUGUGUGUACUCCAAUACAUGGCACCUAACGUACCUCCCGAAUGUUUAAUGGGGGAUCCUACAAGGAUGAGAGAUGACAUCAGCAGUGAAGGUAAUGAUCCCGCAAGGAGGGUAGCCCGCAUUAACAAGGGCAAGGGUAUCAAGCAAUCGACGGGUGUUCGCCAAGAGAAGGAACCUAUUUCGUACAAGCGUUUUGAGGAUCUCGCCCACGCAAUACUUAGGGCGGUCGGAUCUCGGUCACCCGAAAGUUCACUUCCACCAGUGACGCUAGAAGCUCCACCACCUCAAACGGACGAUCAAGCUAUAGUCAGAAGAGGGGUACCCGAGGCCAGCAAGCCAAGGCAUAGGCCUUCGGGUACCCGUUCUAAGUUUCAAACCGUGGGCUCCCGAGACGAGCGUUCCACCGCCUCUUGCAAUUCCCGCAGCAGCCAGGGUACGAGGCGUGCAAAGCAUACCCACGAGGAUCUCCGUGAGAAGUUAAACGCCAAAAGGGCUUCUCAAACGGCGGCGACAUCAUCGGGUACCCCACGAACUUGUGGAAAAAAUGGAGAAUCUGGAAGCCCAAGUGAAGCUCCUCUCCGAAAAGCAAAACAUCACAGCUGCUCUAACGCCAAUGACCUACCAAUCGCCAUUCACUAUGGAGAUUCGGAAGGCAGCUCUCCCCGAGGUGUUCGCCAUGCCUCAGAUACCCCAAUACUCGGGUACCACUGAUCCCUCGGAGCAUGCUGAGCUAUACCGCGACCAAAUGCUUAUCAAGGGUGUAGAUGAGAGCGCCAUGUGUAGGAUGUUUACACACACACUCACGGGCCCCGCGAAGUCGUGGUUUCGGUCUUUGAAAGCGGGUAGCAUAUCUUCCCUACACCAAUUGCUAUCCGAAUUUACUAAAGAGUUUUCCUACGCCUCCACUCAAGAUAGGGUAGCCUCCAAACUUGCCUUUAUCAAGCAAGGGGAAGCCGAGCCUUUGGCGGAGUACGUGAGUCGUUUCCACCAAGAGGUGCUGCGAACCGGAGCAUUUGGAAACCAAUACACAUUGACCCAUUUUGAGAAAAAUUUGCGGUUGGGCAAGUUAUGGCGUUCUUUUCAAAAGAAGCGCCCACUUUCAUAUGGGGAAGCCCGUUCCCGGGCGUUGCAGCAGGUGGAGAUGGACGAGAAAUGUCAAUUGAAGCGCCAAGAAGAUAAGGCCGAUGUUACAAAGAACAAGGAGAAGCCCAAGAGGGUGGAGGCCCCAAUACCGCGGGUACCCCGAGCACGGAGCCCUCCACGGGCUGCCUUGCGGGGACGAGGGUAUAACCCUCAGGGUGCCUCAAGGGUACCCCAACCUCCAAGAUCGCCACCAUCGAAUCAGCGAGAGCCACCGCCAAGGCCUCGGUACGAAUCUUACCACCCACUGAAUCGAUCCCCAGAGCAGAUCUUCUACCAUAUUCGGGAUAGCGGCCUCCUCUGUCCUCCUAAGCCAAUGAAGAAGUACCCCAACAUGAAGCGUAGCCUGAAGUAUUGCGAGUUCCAUGAAGACUUUGGUCACAGCACAGCCGAGUGCUUCACCUUACGAGAAGAAAUUGAAUCUUUGAUUCUCAGCGGGUACCUCAAAGAAUUUGUUGCUGGCAUGAGAGAAGCUCGGAAAUCUGCGGAACAUGAUAAAGGCAAGCGGGUAGCUGAUGGCAGUCCCGAACGAGAGGUACCCCCUGGACACAAGAAAGACGUGUAUGUCCGAAUGAUCAUGGGCGGACCGACUUUAGCGGGCCAAUCUAGGAGGGCUAUCAAAGGCUAUAGUAGAUCGUUGUCGAUAACCACCAAUAUUGGCAGAGAAGUCAACUUUAAUGAAUGGGGUACACCGAAGGUACCCCACCAUCCCCCGCCUAUCAUUUUUACAGAAAAAGAUGCGGAGGGCAUCUCGUACCCCCACGACGAUGCCUUCGUAAUCACGUUGAAGGUUGCCACUGGUAAGGUAGCAAGAACUCUCGUAGAUACCGGCAGCUCCGUUGACAUCAUUUUCAAAAGCACCUUAGAUCAACUAUUGAUUGAGUCGCCAAAGAUCACCCCCUAUGCUACGCUUCUUAUUGGGUUCGCUGGAGAUAUGGUUAUACCAAAGGGCAUCAUUACGCUGCCCGUUACAUUUGGUAAGGUACCUCACCGUGUUGUUCACAUGAUUGAUUUUCUUAUUGUAGAUCACCCGGGUGCCUACAAUAUUAUAUUGGGUAGGCCGUUCUUAGUAGCAACUAAAGCGGUGGUAUCCAUGCACUACCACGCCAUGAAAGUCCCGGCCGCCCAAGAAGUUAUCACCAUUAAAGGGGACCAGCAAUCGGCUCGUGGAUGUUAUUCCGUGGCCUCCAAAGUUACUUACCAAAUAGCUUCCGAUCCACCAAUGAAGGGGUACCCCAGCGGCAGCCAGCCCACACCUUCCCCUUCAAAGCGAGCACUUGCUAGACAGCGGAGAGCAGUACUCAAAAAAUCUCCUCAGGUAGCCCACCCACGAAAACAAUUGGAGUCUUCACCAAUGGGGGUAGAAGCAGUUACGGGGGAUAGCUCGAGGGUACCCCACAGGGACCAGGAGGAGCCUAGAUGUGAAGUUGAGGCACCUUUGGAUCCUCGAAUAUUGAAAGAUAAAAAGCGGGGUACCCUAGUUGAAGACCUUAUUUCAGUCUCGAUUUGUGCCACCGACCCAACAAAGACAGUGAAAGUAGGCUCCAACCUCUCGGAGGAACAAAGAGAGAAGCUCAUCACAUUCCUACGCGAGCACCACGAUGUAUUCGCUUGGUCCUACUCGGAUAUGCCGGGUAUCCCACCUUCCCUCUCUUGUCACAAACUCAAUGUCAGCCCGCAUAAUAAACCGGUCAAACAGAAGCGUCGCGCCUUCAACCAAGAGAGGUAUGAUGCAAUUGAACAAGAGGUAGACCGCCUAUUAGCAGCAAGGUUUAUCCGGGAAGCAGUGUACCCUGAUUGGGUAUCCAACGUUGUUCUAGUCAAGAAAUCAAACGGAAAGUGGCGCAUGUGUGUGGACUUCACUGAUUUGAACAAGUCCUGCCCCAAGGAUAGCUUCCCGCUUCCUCAGGUGGACCAGCUGGUUGAUGCAACAGCGGGGCAUGAGAUGCUUAGUUUUAUGGACGCCUUCUCCGGGUACAACCAAAUUCCAAUGUAUGAACCCGAUCAAGAGAAAACGGCUUUCAUCACCAAUCGUGGAUUAUACUGUUAUAAGGUUAUGCCGUUCGGUUUGAAGAAUGCCGGGGCUACCUAUCAACGGCUGGUGAACAAAAUUUUCAAGGAACAAAUCAGGCGCACCAUGGAGGUGUACAUAGACGAUAUGAUCACCAAAUCGGUGCAUGCGGGGGAACACUUGGGGCACCUCAGAGAUACCUUUACCGUUUUGAGAAAACACCAUAUGCGGCUUAACCCUGAAAAGUGUGCAUUCGGGGUCACCUCGGGAAAAUUUCUUGGGUUCAUGGUACAACAGCGGGGGAUUGAAGCCAACCCCGAUAAAAUUCGCGCGGUUCUUGACAUGAAAUCGCCAAGCACCAUUAAGGAGGUUCAAAGUUUGGCGGGCCGGGUAGCUGCUCUGAGCCACUUCAUCUCCAAGGCUACUGACCGGUGUAAGCCUUUUUUCAAAGCUUUGAAGACUGGCAAGAAGCUCCAGUGGACACCCGAUUGCGAAGAGGCUUUCCAAGAACUGAAGUGGUACCUCGUGAAUGCUCCACUACUUGCCAAACCUGAGCCGGGAGAGGUGCUUUUGUUGUAUCUCGCCGUAUCUGAGCAUGCCACCAGCUCUGUGUUACUCCGAGAGGAUGAUAAUGGGGUACAACGACCUAUUUACUACACUAGUAAGGCUAUGGUUGAUGCCGAAAAGAGGUACCCCACCUCUGAGAAGAUCAUUUUGGCAUUGGUGGUCUCCGCACGGAAGCUCAGACCAUAUUUUCAGGCUCACACCAUUGCGGCCGUCACCAACCUUCCCCUCCGGCAAAUCCUCCAGAAGUUAGACAUGUCCGGAAGGCUUCUCCGAUGGUCCCUCGAAUUAAACGAGUUCGACAUCAUCUUCAAGCCUCGUUUGGCUAUUAAAGCACAAGCCAUUACUGAUUUUAUUGCGGAAUUCGCCAAUGACUCAAGUGGUGAAGGUGACUUGAGAUACCUGUUAGAUACCUCACCCACCGAUGAAGGGGGGCAGGUCUGGGAAAUAUAUGUAGACGGUUCCUCUAACUCACAUGGAAGUGGUGCAGGAGUUAUUAUAAUCGACCCGAAUAAGGUGAAAAUAUGUUACGCCUUGCAAUUUGGAUUCAAGGCUUCAAACAACGAAGCCGAAUACGAGGCCAUCAUAGCGGGGUUGAGGAUGUCGAAGGCUUUGGGAGCAAAAAGGGUACACGUCAAGAGUGACUCCCAGUUGGUGGUAAGCCAAAUUACCGCACAAUAUCAAGCGAAAGAGGAAAACAUGAAAGGGUACCUCGGGAAAACCAGAGAGUUGAUGUCCCAAUUUUGUGAGGUUAAGGUGGAAAGGGUACCCCGACUGGAGAAUAGCGAAGCCGACACCCUGGCGAAAAUGGCAUCCCUUGGGGGUAGCCCAGUCAUCUGGUCCCAUCACAACAGAACAUAUACCCGCACCCAGUGUCGGUCUCCCAGAGCCAUUGGAAGUAGGAUCGCUGUCCAACGAGGUGCUUUGGAUGGAGCCUAUCAUAAGGUACCUCAAGGACGGAGACCUCCCCUCAGAUAAAAGUGAAGCAAGGAGAUUAAAGUAUAAAGUCGCCCGGUAUUGCCUGAUCCAGGAUACCCUAUACAGAAGAGGUUUCACUCUUCCUUACCUUAAAUGCUUGGGAAGCGACGAGGCCGAGUAUGUCAUGAGGGAGAUACAUGAGGGGAUUUGUGGCAAUCACUAUGGAGCACAAUCAUUGGCGCAAAAAGCCCUCCGUCAGGGGUACUACUGGCCAACUAUACGGGAAGAUGCCAAGAAUAUGGUACGAAACUGUGACAAAUGCCAAAGGUUCGCCAGGGUACCCCACCUACAAAAUGGGCGGAAGCAGAGCCACUAACAAGCAUCACAGAAAGGAAAACCACCGAAUUCAUUUGGAAAAACCUCAUUUGCAGAUUUGGAAUCCCCUAUGCAAUUGUCAGUGAUAAUGGUAAGCAAUUCGAUAAUGAAAAAUUUCGAAGCUUUUGUUCGGAGUUGGGGAUAACCAACCGAUUUGCUACACCUACUCACCCCCAAUCUAAUGGGCAAGUCGAAGCCGUUAACAAGAUUAUCAAAGGUAUCCUGAAGAAGAAGCUAGAAGAAAGAAAAGGAGCAUGGGUAGACGAGCUACCUGGGGUACUGUGGGCGUACCGAACUACUCAAAACACCUCCACCAGGGAGACCCCGUUUUCCCUCGCAUUCGGUGUUGACGCAGUGAUUCCAGCAGAAAUUGGGGUACCCUCUCACAGGGUUGAAUACUUUGAUGAGGCCGAGAACACCUCCUUGGUUGCUUCAAACCUUGAUUUAGUGGCUGAAAAAAGAGCUAGAGCAGAACUGAGGACAACCAUAUAUCAGCAUCGCAUUUCGGGUCUAUACGAAAAAAGGGUACGCCCUCGGUCAUUCAAGAAAGGAGACUUGGUCUUGAGAAGGGUAACUCAGAACACUAGGGUACCCUGCGAAGGCGCUUUUGGGGCAAAUUGGGAAGGACCUUACCGCAUCGACAAACCCGUUGGGACAGGUGCAUACAGGCUACUCCACAUGGAUGGCACAAUUGUGAGGCACCCCUGGAACGCUGCAAUGCUACGGAAAUAUUACUAAAGGACAGUGUCUCAACCUUUAGUCUUUUGCUGUUAUUUGCUUUCUUUAAUGUUUUUGUGUGGUAGGCCAAAUAGGGUACCCCAAAUGCCCUAUGUUGGUCAGUUGCAACUUUAGAGUUUCUUUAAUUGUCAAAUGAAAGGGAUAGGAGGUCUUGCGGUCUCCCAUUCUCCUCAGGGUAACAAAGCUAAGUCAUGUAUUGAUCAACGCUUUCGUUAUCUAUAAAUGCAUGUUCUUUCUCAACAAAUAUAAUGUGGGUUCUUUAUUUAUUUUUCUCUACUUCGAUCUUAGAGUGCGGAUUAUAUUCAUUUAUCGCCAUUAAUAUACCCUCGCAUCUGGUAAUAUGCAAUUCUCACCAUACGUUUGUCAAUUAUGACUAACAUAUCGCAGGACCAGCCAGGGUACCUGAUAUGCCCAGAUCGUGACGAUCUAUGUAAACCCAAGAUGGGCAACGGAGGGAACAGCCCGGGGGUAGCCUUUCUGCGGAAGCAUGAUAAAGCUACCUAAACAAAGAGAGGGAGGGUCAGAGAGGACCCGAGGGUGAAGAAAAACCGGCAUACCCUAGCGGCACGAAGUUCGGCUUAGGUAUGAGAACACCCACACCUCCGUCCUCGUACUUUUGCAAAGUAUGGGGUAAGCUAUUCAAAAAAUUCGGAGAAAACUUCGAAAGAAUAAGAAAGUGAUUGGUUGGACCAAUUGCGCUUUCAACGUUUGAUCGAGAUGUCGCGAUGAUAUUUUGAUUACCUAUUUGUGGGGAAUCUGCCAUAGUUUCCGAGAAGGACAUGCACCACAUUUUUAGGGAAUCCGCCUGAUGUUGGAUAUUUGUUAAGGUACCAGGGGUACCCCAUUUCAAAAAAAAAAAAAAAGAGGUACCCUAGACAUUUACAAGGUAACAGUUUAGUCAAGCAUUCAUUUGCAGAAUAACAAGCAUGCAAAGUACAAGAGAACUCGAUGGCAUGGUAUCAUAACAAAAGAGAAGUCCCAAUAAUACAAAAUAUCUCGAGAAACCAAAAAGAAAGAAACAAGGUCCAAAUAGCAAAAUGUGGAUAGGUCCGAAAAAAAAAAAAAAACAAGAGCACAGUAAGAAGGCUACACCGAGGGGGGAACGACAUCCCCAACAUCCGUCUCCAGAGGGCGAUCAGUAGAGGACUCCGAGGUACCCGGAAUAUGAGCAGCCGAACUAGGGGCAUCCGAAGCAGGCAACGGCUGAAGCUGAUGGGGUACCCGAGGCGACCCGGAGGGGGUACCCGACCGUGCCUGGGAAGGCUUCUUCCUCUCUGCAAUUGUCUUCAGAAUCGUAGCCUUGUUGACAAAUUUCUGCACCCGGGGUACCUCCAACUCCGGAUCCACACUCCACACCUCCGUCAUGAUGAGUGAGAAUGCAUCCUCUGCCAUCGUCUUUUGCCGAGAUAGCAGAUCCCCGUUGGUGGCCCUCAACUCCUCACAGUCCUUCUCCACCUUAGCUUUCUCUCCCGACAGGCCAGCAAUGCGUUCUUGCAGAGUUUUAACUUCUCGAGCAAGCUGAUCCUCGUGAGACUGACGGCUUUGGAGCUCACCCCUUAACUUGUCGACCUCUGACUGGGCGGCAACGAGAGAGUCAAGGUCUGGAAGGCAGUGGCUGAGGAGAAAAGAUGCCUGCGGGUCAUAAAAGACACGUUAAAUAUAUACGUGUGGCAAUAGGAUCAAGUAAAAAAAAAUUUUUUUUUGAAGGGUACACCCGGGGUACCCCGGGAAAGCCUACCUCUUGGGUAGCCCUAAGUGCUUGACCAUAGCGUUGGCUCAAACUCAUCUUGUCAGUCUCCUCAGCAACCUCGGAGGUAACAUUUUCAGCGGAGUAGUAGAAACAGCGAGCCAAGUGCGAAACCUCCUUGUUGGAAGCCGGGUCUAGGUCAUUUUCGCGCAACUCCUCAGGGAAAGCGGAAACCAGCCCGAAUUUUCUCUUCUUCGAGCGAGGGGUACCCUUCGACCCGCUGUGGGAGGUACCCUGAGACUUCCCCUUCGGACCGGGAGCUCGAGGAGGUCGGGAGCCUUUCGGGGGUACCGCCGAAUCCUGAGAUCCGGAAGCACCGCCCACUACCGCCUGGAAAAAGGCGUCGAAAGCGUCACCCGUCGAUUCCAUGACUGCACCCAAUGCACAAAAGUUAUGUUAGCUGGACAAGUACUAAGUACUGCAAAAGUAAAAAAUAGGAAAUGGAAAGCGGGGACGCGAAACGAAGAAUGCAAUGCUAAUGGGGUACCCCAGUCCCAUAAGUAAUAAUAGGAUACCCCCCGACACCCAAAUCAUACAUGAGUUACCCCCAGGAGCAGGCGGAGGACUUCGGUCAAUCAGCCCCGCUCUCCACAAUCGGCUCUCAUCUAGCACAUCACUACCCCUCUGUGCACCUCGAAGCCUGUCCACAAACUUCUUCACCUCUCUCCCCACCUCCUGAACUGGGCAUGAUCCUUUAGCCCAUGUCACACCUGCGAAAGCAUAAAGAACUCAAGGUUAGCGAGACAUUCAGGCGAAAGAUUCCGAUAAAGAACCAUAAGUAAGGGAGAUACUUACAGUCUACAUUGAAGGAAUAAGGAACCUCCACGGGGUCGCCCUUCUCACCCAGAGUCUCUGCCCCCCACCUACCCUCAGCGACAAACCAUCCCUUUCGGUAACUCUUCUUCAAGGCGGGGUUCCCCUCAACGAUGUGGCCAUGAUCACCCUAGGGGGAGAAGUAAGCAAUGCCGGGACCCUUAGGUUUCUUGAAUUGGUAAAGGCCCCUCAACUCCCGAACAGAAAUGUCGCGCUUCACGACCUCCAACCAUAACACAUGUAAGCCCGUCAGUGUCCUCCACCCUGGAAGAGACAGCUGCCCAGGAUCUACCCCCAAAUAACUAAACAUUUUCAUAAAGAAUGGUUGGAGGGGCAGGCGGAGUCCUAGAUCGAAGAGGUCGAUAUGGAGAGCAAUCCCAUCAGACUGUGGACACUCGGGUCUCUCAUCCACAUGGGGUACCCUGAGCUGGACAGACGGAGGAAUAUUGUAUUUGGCUCUAAUUUGCUCUAAGUCCCCCAAAGUAGCCCUCUUAAUGCUUAGGGAAAAAGGGUUGCUAGAUUUUGAAGGUGUGGCAGGGGGAGAUUUAGGCGGCUGGUCCGAGGAACGAGCUGGAACCUUAGGCUUGGUUGACUUACCCUUCUUUCGAGGAUUGGGGGUAGGCCGUUUACUAGGAAAGCGUGGGCUGACACGAGGGGUACUCCUAGAGGGAGGGGGCUCAGAACGAGAAUUACAAUUCUUGGAGGAACUAGGAGGGGACCGAUCCCCCUCACUAAUGGAGAUGUGGGAAGGGGAAUCCGCAGGAGGGCUGUCAACCCUACUAGCCCCAACUUUACGUCGCUUCAUCACGGGUCCCGUGUGUUUCUUACCCAUCUACUUUCCCCCAACAAUACACCCAACGAUACACCCAACAACACAUCCACAAGCCCCCAACAACACAUCCAACAAGCCACAUGUUUUCCCAACAGCAACAUAUCCAUACCAAGCACUAUCCAUCACACAUCAACCACCAAAUGCAAACACCAACCAACAAAAAAAACAAAAACAACAAAAACAAAAAUAAAUUUUUCUCAGAGUAUGCAAAAUAGCGCCACUGUGAAUGCGCCAAAAGAAGAGAAACAAGGAGGGAUACCUAUGAUUCACCAAUUCGACAGAUCAGGAUUGACAAUCGCGGGGAGACGAAGCUGCAGGCAACCAAAAACAGUGGGUAAAAUAUGCAAGUAUAAAAAUAAAGAAUAAAGCUUAAAUAUAUGUACUUAUUUAUAAAUAAGUAAAUAAAUAAAAUGAAGAACGAAGAAGCUGCAAUAACCGGCGUCGGCUGUAAUGGCUGCAACCACCGAGAACCGACGUCGACCACCGCAUCCACCGAACCGACGCCGAUCGCCGCAGCUGCCGCCACCAAGAAGAACUGACGCUGGAAAAAUGCAAAGGAGGACGUCGGCCGAAAAAAAAAAAAACUGAGAAGCUGCAGCCGCUAAACUAACUCCGGAAACCACCAAACCGACACCGGCUGCCACGGCUGCAGCCACCGAACCGACGCCGGCCGCAACCACACCAAACCGACGCCGGAAAUCACAAAGAAAAACACAAGCCGAAACGAAAAAGAGAAAAGAAAAAAAGAGAAGAAAAAGAGAGAAGACAAGGGAAGGAAGAGAGAAAGCACCAAGGGAAAAAUGAAGAAACGAUGAAGGAGGGGUUACCGUGUGUAUCGCCGGACUGAGAUCUCGCCGUGAGCCGCCGGAAAUCGCCUUGAACCGACCAGAUCUGGAGCCCAAAACCGCCACUGCAGCAGCCGCGAUCCACGCCGGAAAACGUACUAGAUCAACGCCGGCCGAGAGAGAAAGAGAAAAAAGAAUGAAAGAAAAGGAAGAAGGAAAAGAGAGAAAAAGGAAGGAGAAACGUGAGAAAGAAAAGGGAGAAAGAAAAUGGGAAAGAAAGAAAACGGAAGAAGAAAGAAAUAAAAGAAAAAGAGUAAAGGGAGAAUAGAGCCUAGGGAAGAUGAACGAGCGUAAAUUUAUUAAUUUCGUUCUACUAAUUUAAGUUAAGUUUAUUGAGUAUUCCAGUUAUUUUAAGCUAAAAUGGACAUUUUCAUAAUUUUAUCACAUAAUCAAACGAAUAAGUGUAUAUUUUAAGAUGGUAAAGAUAGUCAAUAGGUAAACUUAAAGGAAAAACUAAUGGCAAGGUUGGUUUAAUGAGUUUUCAAAAUAUUGGUGGUGGAAUAACGAUAAUUAAUUUAUUUAGGUGUGCAAUUGAAUUUUGAUAUGUACUAGUGGUGCAAAAAAAUAAUAAAUUCAAGUUGAGUCAAAGGCAUGGUAAGAACGCAGACUCCCCAAAGCCCACGACAUAGAUUAUCUAAUGAUUUUUUUAAUUUAUAAAAUUAAAAAAAGAGUUAAUGUUGACUUCGUUUUACCCCAAAAAAAAAAAAAAGUAUGACACUAUUAGGCAUCAAUUUCAAAAUAACGCGGUUUGAUCAACUCCAAUUUAUGAUGUUAUUAUCAAAUGAUAAAUUUUUCUAAUUUUUAGAAGUCGUUUCUUAUCAAAUAAUCAGGGAUUGAAAUAAAUAGCAUAAAAUAACAAAAAUAAGAAAGUUAAGUUGAUGUCCACUGAUUUGUGUAAGUAAAAAGUUUGACUCUUAAAAAGACAUUAAUUUCAUGAGAGACAAUAACGCCAUUUUGAUCCUCUCUAUAAUUAAUGAUGUUAUUUUCAAAUAACAAAAUUAUCUAGCUUUUGGAAAUCUUGGAGAGAAACUAAUUUGGUCGGUUUCUUGAUUAAUGAUUUGAUGGUCAUCGAAUAAUGCAUGACUUGGAAAGAUCUUCCCCCGUUCUUCAAGUUAUUAUUUGACUUUGUUAGUAAAAGGCCUAUCAGAAAGGUUUUUAAAUUCUGGUCUUCUGAGAUUAAAUUAAGUCACAGUUUAAGUUAUCUCAAGAAUAUGGGUUUGGUCAAAUUUUUCUCAGUUAUCUCAAUAUUGUUGCUAAUUCAUUGGCUAAUCAAAGACACAGUUGCAAAAAUUCCUCUUGGAGAAAAUUGAGGAAAAUCUUCUUGAAGAUGGCUAAAUUAUAAAAAGAUAGUACAUGGUGGCCGGACGGAUUAUAAAUUAAGUAAAUAUAUCUAACUUCUUUAAAAUUAAAGCUUCAUAAGACAUAACUAAUGCUCUGUAUGAUUUUAUUAUUGGCUUCCGAAAUUGCACGAUAGGACAGCUGAAAGCAUUUUCCAUUUACUACUUCUUCGAAUUGACUGUUAGGAAAUUGGUAAGUGAAGCAGGAUCGCAACUAAAAUAAAAUUGGAAGAAAUAAAGAAUAAGCACAAAAGAGAAUACCAGAAAUAACAUAGUUCAGCUUUUAGCCAACGUCCACGGGCGAAAAUAGAAGGAAAUAUUUUAUUAGUGAAAUAAGGAUUACAAAUGUUGUAAUAUUUUGGCUCACUACCCAAAACCCGAAUACACCCAAUCUCUCACUCACUAAUUACACAAGAGCAUUAAAACUCUUAAUCUCUCACACAAUUCUUUCUCUUUUACAAAACAGAGAAGAGAAACUUAAGGAAAAAAUGGAAUGAAUUUGCUCAUUCUCUUCGUUUCUAUUUAUAGAGAAAGCUUUGGCACUAUUCAUCAAUUAUAUAUUAUUUUUUUCUUUAGACAGCACCUCCCAUUUUUUUUUCUUUCUUUCUUUCUUCUUUUUCUUCUUUCUCUUUUAUUUCCUUCAAUUUGAUUUUGGCUAGGCCACCACCAGCUUUGACAUUUCUCCCGCUUGGAGAUUUGAUUGAGAAUCAAUCAAUCCCCACACCAUCUUUUCUGCUUCGCCAUAAUCAUGUUACCUACGUUUCUGCUAGGCCACAAGAAGAUCUAGUCCAGACAAACUUAUCAGUAUUUAUCGGCUUAGUCAAAACAUCUGCUAGGUUCUCCUUCGUAUGGAUGUUCUGUAAAUCCACAUUUCCGUCUUCCACUACUUCUCGAACGAAGUGAUACUGAACUCCUAUGUGCUUUGUCCUGGAAUGAAAGGCUGGAUUCCUUGCAAUGUGUAAGGCACUCUGACUGUCACAAAACAUAGAAAUUUUCUCUUGUUUGUGCCCGAGCUCCUCCAAUAACCUUUGUAUCCAAAUAACUUCCUUACAAGCUUGUGUAGCUGUCAUGUACUCUACUUCUGUUGUAGAUAAAGCCACAACAGUCUGCAGUUUUGAAACCCAGCUUACAGCUGCUCCCGCAAAUGUAAACACAUAACCAGUAGUGGAUUUUCUUUUGCUCAAGGAUUUUCUUUUAUCAAGAUCUCCUGCAAAAUCUGAAUCCACAUAGCCCCUGACAGUAAAUUCUGAUCCUCCAUAACAUAAUGCAACAUCUAAGGUUCCUCUGAUGUAUCUCAGAAUUCUCUUCACAGCUAUCCAAUGUUCUCCACCCGGAUUUGCCAUGUAUCGACGGACUGCUCCCACUGCUUAUGCAAUGUCCAGUCUAGUACAUAUCAUAGCGAACAUCAAACUUCCCACUGCUGAUGCAUACAGUACUCGAGACAUUUCUUUCCUCUCCGCUUCAUUGCUAGAACACAUACUUGAAUAUAAUUUGAAAUUAACAAGAAGUGGGGUAGAAAUUGACUUACAAUCUUGCAUGUUGAAGCGCCGCAAGAUUUUCUUCAAGUAAUUCUUCUGCGAAAGCCAAAUUUUCCUGUUAUUUUUGUCUCGGUGAAUUUGCAUCCCUAUAAUCUUGUUUGCUGGUCCCAAGUCCUUCAUUUCAAACUCCCUAGCCAACUGUGCCUUCAAUUCUUGGACUCGAUCUUUGUUGGGGCCUGCUACCAACAUGUCAUCCACGUACAACAGUAAAAUAAUGAAAUCAUUAUCUUCAAACCUCUUAUAAUAUGCACAAUGAUCUGAACUGAGUCUAUUGUAUCCAAGGCUUAUAAUGAAGGAAUCAAAUCUCUCAUACCAAUAUCUCGGCGCCUGUUUGAGACCGUAUAGAGAUUUGUUCAACCUGCAAACCAAGUUCUCCUUUCUUUUUUUAUGCAAAACCUUCUGGUUGGAGCAUAUAUAUUUCUUCUUCAAGUUCUCCAUAAAGAAAUGCAGUUUUCACAUCUAACUGCUCUAGAUGUAGGUCAAAUAUAGCACACAUUGUCAACACUACUCUGACUAUUGUGAGUCGAACCACCGGUGAAAAUAUCUCGUUGAAAUCAAUACCUUCUUUCUGAGCAUAUCCUUUCACCACCAAUCUCGCACGAUACCGCUCCACUUGGUCAUUGCCAUCACGUUUGAUCUUGUAGACCCAUUUAUUUCCAAUGGCUUUUCUUCCACGUGGUAGUGGUACAAGUUCCCAUGUCUUGUUCUUGUGUAGAGCUUCAAUUUCUUCCUGCAUUGCUGUCAUCCACAAAGCAACAUCUGAGCUUUCUAAAGCUUCAUAGAAAGUUGAUGGCUCUCCAUCUUCUAUUAGAAGACAAUAUGCAACGUUGAUCUCUGUGACAUACUCUGAGUGCCACGUUGGUGGUCGUCUCUCACGAGUUGAGCGACGAAUUUCUUGAGCCUCGGACUCGACUAGUUCUUGUUCCUCGUGCUCUGGUGCUGCUUCAGAAGAAUCUGAAUCUUCUGGAUUAUUUUCGACAUAUACCGGCACAAUCCCUGACUUUUCUUUUACAGUGCUAUCACCUCCAUCUUUCAUUUGCAGUUGAUCUUCUACAAAAAUAACAUCUCUGCUGAUGACGAUCUUGUGGGCAGUGGGGUCUCACAGACGAUACCCCUUUACUCCAUCAGCAUAUCCCAAGAAGAUACAUCUUUUAGAUUUUGUAUCCAGCUUUGUUCUUUCUUGGGCAUUGUACAUCACGUACACAGGACAUCCAAAUACAUGUAGGUAGGAAUAAUCAGCUGGCUUUCCAGUCUACAUCUCCAUCGCUAUCUUCAGCCCAAUAACUGUAGAUGGCUAUCGAUUUACUAUAUAACAGGCCGUUUUGGUUGGUUCUGCCCAGAAUGAAUUGGGUAAAUCAGUAGUCUUCAACAUAGCUCUUAUUUUUUCUGUAAGAGUUUUGUUCAUCCGCUCCGCCACUCUGUUUUGUUGAGGAGUGUAUGCCACCGUGAACUGCCUCUAAAUAUCUUUUUGCUUACAGAAAGCAAGAAACUCACCGUCUCUAUACUCUCCAUCAUUAUCCGUCCUCAAGCACUUUAUCUUUUUACCAGAUUCAAGUUCCACCCGCGCUUUGUAUUCUUUAAACACUAGAAAUACAUCUAACUUUUUCUUAAUUGGAUACACCCAACAUGUUCUGGAAUAAUCAUCAAUGAAAGUCACCAUGUACUUUGCACAUCCCAUGGAUAUAUCCAGUGAUUCCCAAACAUCAGAAUGAAUCAAGUUUAGAAUGUAUUUACUUAUAGCAAUAGAUCUACUGAAUUUUAAUCUAUGCUGCUUACUUGUAACACAAUACUUGCAAAAUGGUAAACUUACCGAUUUGAGCCCCAGAAGCAAUUUUCGCUCAGAGAGAAUCUUCAAACCUUGUUAUGAUAUGUGGCCAAGUUUGAGAUGCCACAUCAUCGUUGACUCUUCUCCAUUUGAUGCGACACACGCAUCAGCCUCCUGUAGUGUUUCUUAUUUAAGCAUGAAUAGAUUAGCACCGAUCUUUUCUGCCUUCAUCAAUACAAGCGCUCCUUUAACAAUUUUCAUAAUUCCAUUCUCCACAUGAGUUUUGUACCCAUGACUAUCCAUUUGUCCCAAAGACAAUAGAUUUUUCUUCAAGCCGUUGACAUGUCGUACCUCCUCAAUUGUGCGAAUUGUACCAUCAAACAUUUUUAUUUUGAUAGUACCAGUACCAGCGAUCUCCAAGGCAUGAUCAUCUCCCAUAUAUACAAAUCCUCCUGAAAUAGGUUCAUAUGUGUGGAACCAUUCUCUCCGAGAGGUCAUGUGCCAGGUAGCUCCUGAGUCUAUAAGCCAGACAUCAGAUAGUCGUUUUCUGCCUUCUGAAAUAGUUGUUGCCUCGCUGUAGAGAAUUUCGCCAUCAUUUGAGGUACUUGCUACACACCCCUAAGCAUUUGAUGACUCAGGUUCUUUAACCUCUCUUAUCUUCUGGUUACUCCAACACUCCUUUUUGACGUGCCCUUUCUUGUCACAGUUAUAUCAUUUAACAUUCUUCUUACUUCUGGAUUUUAAUCUACCAUGAUUUUGACUCCCACUGAGGCCACAUUUCGUUGAUCUCCCUCUCGUCACCGAUAGCGCCUCUGCUUGCUGUGAACUUGCUUGUCUGUUUUCUUUAUUUUUCUGCCUGCUCUCCUCAUUUAAUACGGAGGCUGCAAAAUCAUCGAAAACUAUACUGUCCAUUGGAUUGUUGUUCGUCAGGUUGAUGAUGAGUUGAUCAUACGAAUCUGGUAGACUUUGAAGUAGAAGCUCUGCACGUUCAUUUUCCUCUAUAUUAUGACCGAACGUUGUGAGUUGUGAAAAUAGAGUCUUCAAGGUGUUGAUGUGGUCGGUCACCAUUGUAGAUUCCGCCAUUCGAAGAAUAUAGAGUUUUCUCUUCAAGAAGAUUUUGUUGUGUAGUGACUUGGCCUCGUACAAUUUUGUGAGAGUAUCCCAUAUUUCCUUUGUUGUACUUUUCUCUACCACACUGAAUAAUACUCCAUCUGCAAGUGCCAAGUGUAGAUCAGAAAUGGCGUUGCCAUCUAUCUCGUUCCACUUGUCAUCAGCUAUCUCCAUGGGCCUUUCUCCAAUUGCUGCCAAGCAAUUAUUUUUCCUCAAUACAACUUUUAUCUUCAUUUUCCACAACGAAAAAUUAUUUCCGUUAAACUUCUCAAUUUUAUACUUUGCCGCCAUUUUGUUGAUAAAUAUCGCACACAAGUUAGUGUACCACCUUGAAUAGUUGUGAGUAUGUGUGAGAAUUCACACCAGGAAAGUUCCCAGGAAAGACUGGAGGGGUCACAAUGGUCCCACUUAAAACCCAGACUCCUUAAGCUCUUAUCGCCUUUGUGACAGAACUUUCCUAGACAUGUACAAAAACCACACAGUUGUUUUACUCACACCACUAUUCCCUGCUUUGCAUCGCAAAAUUCUUGGACCGCUCCCACCGUUUCAUGUGAAUAGUACAGUAUACGUGAAUUGUACAGUAUAUGUGAAUAGUGUCAUAUACGUGAACAGUGCCAUAUACAUGAAUAGUACCCCCUUACGUGAACAGUACCAGACUUAAAAAAAAUACAACCAAUAGCUCUGAUACCACUGUUAGGAAAUUGGUGGGUGAAGCAGGACCGCAGCUAAAAUAAAAUUGGAAGAAAUAAAGAAUAAGCACAAAAAAGAAUACCAGAAAUUACGUGGUUCGGUUUUUAGCCUACGUCCACGGGCGAAAACAGAAGGAAAUAUUUUACUAGUGAAAUAAAGAUUACAAAUAUUAUAAUAUUUUGGCUCACUACCCAAAACCCCAAUAUACUCAAUCUCUCACUCACUAAUUACACAAGAGUAUUAAAACUCUUAAUCUCUCACACAAUUCUUUCUCUUUUACAAAACAGAGAAGAGAAACUUAAAGAAAAAAUGGAAUGAAUUUGCUCGUUCCCUUCGUUUAUAUUUAUAGAGAAAGUUUUGGCACUAUUCAUCAAUGAUAUAUUUUUUUUUCUUUAGACGGCACCUCCCAAUUUUUUUUCUUCUUUCUCUUUUGUUUCCUUCUUUUUUGUUUCCUUCUUUGGGCUGCUGCCAAAGCCAUGUUUAUUUCUUUGGGCGGCUGCCAAAGCCAAUUUGAUUUUGGCUAGGCCACCACCGGCUUUGACAUUGACUAGUAUCAUCUUCCUCGAUGGUACACUAGAACGCAUUCUCCAUUGCUAUUUAUUCAAAUGCACUAACCUGGGCUUCUUUUGCAUUGUGUUUAAACUAGUCCCAUUUUAAGGGGUUUUUUUUUUCUCCUCUCUAUUCUUUUCCCUAUUUCAGGUAAUAACAAGUGAAUUAGUUAUUCCGCCGUUGUUGUUCCUUUUGAUAUAUUCUUUCACAUGGGGUUGUUCAUUUUUCUUGUUUCUUGUUCUUUUUGGAACUUCCAUUGAAGCAAGUAAAGUCAUUUUACUUAUAAGCUGCUGCAAGCUGUUAAAAAAGAUGGCAAUUAAUUAGUUUCUCAUUUUCUUGUUGAUGAAGCCUGUAUAUGAAUAAAUUACGCGCUAGCUUGUCAUUUUGUUAUUAAAACCUUUAUAUGGCAUGUUCUGCUUUCUGUUUUCUAUUUUUUUUUUGUGAGAAAAUUUUCUAAAUACUUAAUUUUUCUUUUUCCCCUGAAUAUCUACAGAAUGAUUGCUAGAACAACGAUGGGCCAAUGGUUCAAUCUUUUAGUAUGUGCACUCUUAAUACUGAAAGCUCAAGCAUGCUUUAAUGUAUCAAUCACCUAUGUUGAAGAUGCUGUAGCGAAAGGAGCUGGUGGGGAUUAGUACAUAUUUAUAUUGAUGCUUCAUUUUGUGAUUUUCCGUUACUGCGUACUGUAGUUUGUUAGCUGUUUAAUAUGUUUUGCAGUCUGUUUGGAUGGCAGCCCACCUGCUUACCAUUUUGAUAAGGGGUUUGGUGCCGGGAUCAAUAAUUGGUUGGUGCACAUUGAUGUAAUGUCCUCCUCUAUGUAAAAACAUUUCUUAUAUUCACUGCAACUUUAAAUGAUAUGGAUGAAGAGUAAUCAGUCUUACAUAUUAUAGUCAUAAGAAUUCUGGUGAUGUUUACAUUUACCAUUCAUGCUUGUAUUCAUCAUAUACUUUUUUGUUGAUUCAAUUUGCCUUUGGCUUCGGGUUCUUAGGGAGGAGCAUGGUGUAACAAUGUCGCAGAUUGUUCUAACCGAAGGGAUUCCUCACAUGGUUCAUCUAAGUAUAUGGUGAAGGAAGCUAAUUUUACUGGGAUACUAAGUAAUGAGCAGAAAUUUAACCCAGGUAUGACCUUUUUGUGUCGCUUAUUGAUUUGAUUGAUGCAAAUCAAUAAAUUCCCCUUUCCAUUUCUAGACUUCUACGAUUGGAAUAGAGUCAAGGUUAGAUACUGCGAUGGGGCAUCGUUUACUGGAGACGUAGAGGCUGUCAAUCCAGUAAGUUAACUUUUGCCAAAAUUUUCUUAUAUACAUAUUCUUGGGUUCUCUCGUGUGAUAUUUAGUUAGUGAUUUGAUCAGGAAACUAACCUUCACUUCAGAGGAGCAAGGGUUUUUGAAGCUGUCAUGGAGGAUCUAUUGGCUAAAGGAAUGAAAAAUGCUCAAAAUGUAAGAUCAUUCUGUUUUUGUUUUUAAAAAUAUGUUCAUUAGAUUGAUAUGUUUGAUAACUCAUUCGCACUUAUGACAGGCUAUACUUACUGGUUGUUCCGCUGGGGGUUUGACUUCGAUUUUGCAUUGCGAUAACUUCCGAGCUCUCUUUCCCGUUGAUACUAGAGUAAAAUGCUUUGCAGAUGCUGGCUAUUUUGUGAAUGUGUAAGCUCCUGUUCUUUCAUCAACCAUGAUGUGGCAGUUGCUUCAGUUGUUUUUCUUUUCCGAAAUCUGAUUCCCUGGUGUAUUUUUCAAUAGGAAGGAUGUUUCUGGAGCAAGUCACAUUGAGGAGUUUUAUAAACAAGUGGUCGCAUUACAUGUACACACUCUGUCUCUCAUCCUCUUUCAUGCUUACCGACACAAAAUAAUGUUGUUACAUCUUGUGUAGGGAUCGGCUAAGCAUUUGCCAGCAUCCUGCACUUCGAGAUUAAGUCCAGGAUUGGUGAGUUCCACCAUUUUAAUGUUUCUACGUUCUAGUCUUCAUCCAUUCGUUUAUGGACUGACCGAUUCCUUUUAAAAUGACAGUGUUUCUUCCCACAAAACGUAGCAGGGCAAGUCAAGACACCGCUAUUUAUCAUCAACUCAGCUUAUGAUUCAUGGCAGGUUAGCAUAGUUCUUCAAUGUCUAAGAUCCAAUGACAGAAAAUGUGAUACAUAAGCUUAGUGCAAGAAGAUAAUUUUUUGUACUUAAGUGACAUAUCAAGUGAAGCUUGAUUCUUGGGCCUUCUUGCACAAGCAAAAAGAGACUGGUGGAAGAUUGGCACAUUUUUGAUAUGUUAUAUUCGAAGCCACUGAAUAAUUUCAAUAAAUUAUGUGCAAUUUCAAUCUGGUAAUAUUGUUACAAGCGGAAAAUGGCGUGCACAGAUAAGGAACAUUUUGGUUCCGGACAAUGCUGAUCCGAAAGGAACUUGGAGGCGCUGCAAGAAGGAUAUAAAAAUGUGCUCAUCUACUCAGCUGCAAACUAUGCAAGGUAAUUCCCCAAAGCCCCGGAUUACUGCUUUCCACAAAAGACCUUUUUCAUUUUAUUGUUGAUAAUUCAAAGUGUCAAUUCUCGUUGUAUACUUUUCAGGUUUUAGGGUGCAAUUCCUGAAUGCAUUGGCCGGACUUGGCAACUCUUCAUCCAGAGGAAUGCUUAUAGACUCUUGUUAUACUCACUGCCGAACCGUGUUUCAGGAGGCUUGGUUGAGUGCUGACUCUCCGGUGCUGGAUAAAACGGUACGAGUUAUGAUUUCAUCGUUUUGACUUGUUUCCUUUAACAUCUUGAAGUACCAUUGAUUCCCAUUUUUAAGGAUUGAAAAUAUGUUCUACGCAGCCUAUUGCAAAGGCAGUGGGAGACUGGUAUUACGACAGGAAUCCAUUCCAAAAGAUUGAUUGCCCUUACCCCUGCAACCCAUUGCCAGAGAGUUGCUUUUGAAUGGACCUAUUAAUGUAAUGUACACACACAUAAAAUUACAGACCUUGUGUCAAAGCAGAACAAAAUGUAAGAGUCAAGAUCAUUGAGUAGUCAUCAAUGAGCUUGACUGAGUAAGAAUAAAAUGGAUAAAGAGUAUAUGAUUGAUUGAUCAAGUCAAUGAAAUAAUUAAACAGAGGCAACCACCGCACUCAACUUAUGUGCUGGGUGUCUUCUAUCAUUUUCUUAUGUAAUUUAUUUUUCUUAUGUAAUUUAUUGUUGUAACUUCAGUGAAAUAAAUAUUCCAUUUCUUGUUGUUGGAUUGUUGGCAGUAGACGAUCAAUUAUUUAGGAAUCAUUUUGUUUAAUUUUAGUAAUGUCCUAAGACCAUCCUUUUUCCUUUUAACCUUUCACAGUGUGAACUAGUGUGUAUGCAUAGUUAUUUUUUGCUGCAUAAAUAACCAAGUUUAAUUAAAGCUAAUAUUAUAAAAAUAAAAUGCUCUUGCGUCUUGGCACCUUUUUUUCCCCCCUUAAAAUAAUACACUAAAUUACUUAAAUUUUUUAAAAUUAACUACUCUAAUUUUUUUUAUAAUUUCAGAAGUAUUUUAUGCAAUCAAUAAAAUAAGGGAAAUUAUCAUUGCACUACCUUCCUUUUACCUUAUGAUCAUUUAACCACCACAAAAUUUUAACAUGUUCUUUGCACCACCUUUCUUUUUAAAUUUAUAUCAAUUAGCCACUUUUGCACUAACACCGUUGAAUAAUUUAAAUGAAAUGACAAUCCAGAAAUUAUAUAAAACGGUAUUUUAAUUUAAUUAGGGGUAAAUUUGUUAUUUUGUUUAAAUUAUUCAACGGUGUUAGUGCAAAAGUGGCUAAUUGAUACAAAUUUAAAAAAAAAAAAGUGAUGCAAAGAACAUGUUAAAAUUUUAUGGUAUUUAAAUGAACAUAAGGUAAAAGGAAGGUGGUGCAAUGAUAAUUUCACCUAAAAAAAUAGUAUUUUUUUUUGGAAAAAAACAAAGAAUAUUUUUUGAACAAAAAAAUUCACCAAUUUGAAGUUCAUAUCAAAAUAACACUAAAAGUUCACUCUUCAUGUCUUUAAGAACGUAGAUUAAUUAUAUUACACUACAACAUUUUAGUUCAUACUCCCAAAUAUCCCCAAAAAAAAAUGUGACAGACAUCUAUCCAUACCUUAAAUUUCAUCUUAAAUGAUGUGUCAUUCAAUAAAUUAUUUUUUUAUAAUAUUUAAAAAAUUAAUUUUUUAUAAUAAAAAAAUCUUUUAGUAAUUAAAAAGAAAAUACCAAGAAACUCCAGCUCUUGACAUGAGAUAUUAAAAAAAAAUUAUAAUGUGCCGUCAAGAUACAUAUCUUAGUAAUGGCGUGAUAUCAUUUGUAGAAGGCCCAAAUUUGAAGACGGUCCGUCCUUGGCCCACCCCACAAUUUCACCAUUGCAUACUUACAUUGACAAUAAAUACUCUUCUCUCGGGGUUUUUAAUUAAAGAUGCCCUAAAAAUGAGGUAUUUAGUUAAAUAUAUCUCAUGGUUGAAAAUUAUUUAUAUAUACUUUUUUAUGUGGUACAUUAUCUAAAAUGCCUCUAAAGAAAAAUAUAAAACACGUAAUUAAAGAUGCUCUAAAAAUGGGGUAUUUAGUUAAAUACCAACUGUAAUAGUCUAUUUAGGCUAAGCAUUCCUUAAAUUAUAUGAUCCUCAUAUUAUAUCACAUAAAUUGUACAAAACUAUCUUGUUGUCUUUGAAUAUUACACUUAACAAAAAAUAAUUUAACACUACUAGUUAGAAAUACCUAACUAUAAUCUUGUGUCUAUGAAAAUAUUCAACUAUAGUCGUGUACCUAUAAAAAUACCUGACUGUAUUAAUGUAUUUUAGCCAGUCAUUCCUUCAAUAUAUAUGAACACCCUGAUCUAUAACAGACAUUAUACAAAAUUAUCUUCUUUCUCAAUAAUAUACUUAAGCAAAAAAAAAACAUGAAUACUGAUGUAAAAUCAUCUUUAAUGAUAUCAAAUGUCAAUGACAUUCCCAUUGCAACUAUUAUAUCUCAUGUUAAUUAAUCCAAAAAAUGGCAAAAUCACAACAAUGAAGUUUUUAAGGAUACGACACUAUGUAGUUGGUUUCAACGACCUGUGUCCAAAUAAUUUGAUAGCCAAUGCUUUUCGAAAUUAUGACACUAUGUAGUUGGUUUCAACGACCUGUGUCCAAAUAAUUUGAUAGCCAAUGCUUUUCGAAAUUAUGUAACAUCAUCAUAUUGACAAAAUGUGUUCACGUCAAGGCCAUAGGCUAGGACCUCCAAGUACUACAACAAAAAUGCUUCACAAUAAAAUUCAUAUACAUCAAUAAUAAAAUCACCAUUCUUAUUGAAAUAUAUAUAUAUAUAUGUGUGUGUGUGUGUGUGUGUGUGUGUGUGUGUGUGUGUGUGUGUGUGUGUGUGUGUGUGUGAUAUACUCAAUUGCAUCCCCUGAUUUUAUUGCAGGAUAUUACGUACUCACAAGGAUGAUCUUUAUUUAUGUCUUCUACUGCAGGAUAUUACGUACUCACAAGGAUGAUCUUUAUUUAUGUCUUCUACUGCAUCUAGUGAUAAUCAAUUAGAAAUAUUUGCUUUGAAGUAUUUAGAUUCCUUAAUUUUCAGUUCCCAUCUGCAUAAACAUAAAAUAUUUUAAUUAUAAUAUAAAACGACCAAAAAGUUGGAUAAUAACAUAUUCUAAACCAAUAAAAAAAAUUACACGACACACCAGUCGAGUAAAGCAUUCAUAACACAACUACAGUCGAGUAAAACAUUCAUUACGCAACUAUAGCCGAGGAAAGUAUUCAUUACAUGAUUACAGCCGAGUAAAGCAUUCAUUACACGAUUACAACAAGCAUAAAAUAUGUUUUGACUUCUAUAUUUCCUUGGAUUUAAAUCAUUUCAUGAUAAUACAUAAUGCUUACAACAUAAAACUACAUAAAAGCUAAAUAUGUUUUGACUUCUAUAUCUCCUUGGAUUCAAAUCUCUGUACAGAAUUUUAAGUGGAUGACAGUAUAGAAAAGAAUUUACUUUAAUAUGGCUUGUCAACGAAUAGAGAGAAUGAAUGAAAAUUUUGUUUAUUAUAAAAAAUAUAUUGAUGGACCAUUAAAAAGCCAAAUGGUCAUUUAAUCAUUAACAUAUUAUUUGAAAUCCAUUCAAUAUGGGUAAGAAAUAAUUAGAAUUGUAAAUUGAAGGUUCCAUAGCAAAUAAUAGAGAAAACCCAGAUUGCGACAUAAUGAACGCAUACACAGCUGAAGAAAAUUAAUAUAUAAUUUCCAUGGAUGAAGUCCAACUACAAACAAUAAAUAAAAUUAAACACAUAUCUAAUAGAUAAAUCAGUGUAGCCAUAAUCGAGUAGUCACAAGGAUAAUAUUUGUUUUAUCCAAUUCCCUUUGAAUAUUUAAUUAGGAACUCCUAUAACCAUUACAAGGAGAGUAAACUCCCUUGAAAUAACUCUCUUCAAUUUCAACUCCGCAAGUUCAAGAAGCUUCAUUACAUGAAUCAUGAAGAAACAUUAUCAGCAAGCAUGCAAGUGAAACAAAUAACUCGGCCAACUACAAUAAUGACCAAAAUCACGUGGGCAAUUUAUUUUUUAAAACCCUAAUGCAUAUAACCCCAACAAUUAUGAAUCCUAAAUUCUCUUUAUGAAGUAAAAAUUAAGUGUAAAUGUGGUAAAUAAUCUUUAAUUCGGUGAAUUUCCAGCCUUCAGUUUAGUGAAUUUCCAAUGAAAGUAGUGGAUUUGUGGUGUUAGAACCAGCAGCAAAAGAAGCACAAACUUACAGCAGCAGAAGUAUCCUGGGCAUUGAAAUAUCUGUGAUUUUGAAAUAUUAGAUUUUGAAUUGGGGUAAUUCUGUAAUUGCACAUUGAGAAAUUUUAGGGUCUAGCUAUGGUACCACUGUAGUAUCAUGUGUCACUAUAGUUGGAUUCAAUGGUUGGAUUCAGCUGUGGUACCAUAGUUUUGCUCGAAAUUUUGAAUUAUGAGGAUGUAUUAGGUAAAUACCCUACUUUUGGGGUAUGGCGUGGACAAAUUCCUGCUUCUCUCUCAAUCUCAAAAACACAACCUUCGCCCUUCGGUUGCAGUUGCAGUGUUAAUGGAUUGGAGUUUUGUACACACAACUUGGGAAAAAUGGGCUUCUACCAGUGUUGGCUCUUCCGGUAAUGUACCCUCCAAGAACCCCCUCGGGCUUUUCAUUAUUUUAGUUAUUACCACGUUAGAUAUAUUAGAUUUAUAAUUUAUAUAAUAAAAGGCUGCUGAUCAUGCCAGUGCAAGAGCUAUAGAGUAAGCAGCCAUUGAUUUUUGUUUCUAAAUUUUGCUUGUAGGUGAGCCCUUGAAGGCGGCUUUGCUUAUCAACCAGGACCCCACUGGUCCCUCUCGUUUGUUAUCCACUAUGUCAGCUUCGUGCUUUUUUUUUUUUUUUAAUAUAUAUUUUAAAUACCCUUUUAUAUAUAUGUUGUUCUGUUCAUAAGCAGUGAAAUUUUGAAGCUUCGUUAUGGUUUGUGCAGUGCAGAACAAGAAAGGUAUCAAGGCCGACGCGAUUGACUUGACUGAAUUUGUUGAUUUUGUCAAACUCAAUAAACUUCAGACUGACUGCUUUGUUAUUGGACAAAAAACCAAUGCAAGCUAUUCGUGUCUCCUUUACAUUUGUGAGUGAAAUUCAAUUGUUGGACUUGAAUUUUGCGGUGAAUUAUUUAUUAUUGCUAGAGUUGCUAGUAAGUUGAUCGUAAUGGUUUUAUCAUAUUGAUGACAAUUGACGCAGACAUAGUUACCUCGAUUCAUGAGAAUAUGACAAUUUUUAUAAGAGGAAAAGAGAGAGUCGUUCUCUUAAUCAAGAAAAAUACCAUUAAAUCUAGAAUAUAAAAAUUAAUGGCUGAAAAAUUAACGUGUGCGUGAUCUAUGGUCAAAUAUUCUAAAUCCUUGAAAUUAAAAUAACUUGAAAAAUUAAUAUUGAAAAAAAAUAAAUGAAAUUGUCACUUUCGAUCACAUAAUCAAUGAAAAUCAGGAUAUAAUCAACACCUAUUUAUUUUAUUUCUAAAUUAUGACUUUUUCAUUAUUAUUCAAAGAAGGGAGUUUUUCUUUAAAAAACUCUCACCAUAAUAUAAGUGGCUUAAACCUUUUUUUGUUUUGAAAUAUAAAUUAACUUAAAAGCAAACAAGUAACAAAAUUAUCUUUUAAGAAGGCUUUAUAUAUGUAGAGGGGACUAGUCCACCUAUGUCAAUUCUUCCAAGUUAGUGAAAUUGUGUGACUUUAUUUAAUUAGAAGGAGCAACAACUUCAAUCUCUAUUUAUACGUCAUUAUCCUUUAGCUAUAUUUGUGCGACUUUAUUUAUACGUAGGGAAAUGAGUUAACAAGUUAUAUUUUCCAAGCACCAAGGUAAAUUACUCCUUAGGUCAUUAUGGUCAAUAAAUGAGUCUUCAUUUUACAAUUAAUAAAUGUAUAAAAUAUUUGAACUAAUUAAUAGUAUAGUAUUAUAUAUGUUAAAUUCUUCAAAAAGUAAGAUAGAAUGUAUACUUGAUAAUUUCGUUCUACUAAUUUAAGUUAAGUUUAUUGAGUAUUCCAGUUAUUUUAAGCUAAAAUGGACAUUUUCAUAAUUUUAUCACAUAAUCAAACGAAUAAGUGUAUAUUUUAAGAUGGUAAAGAUAGUCAAUAGGUAAACUUAAAGGAAAAACUAAUGGCAAGGUUGGUUUAAUGAGUUUUCAAAAUAUUGGUGGUGGAAUAACGAUAAUUAAUUUAUUUAGGUGUGCAAUUGAAUUUUGAUAUGUACUAGUGGUGCAAAAAAAUAAUAAAUUCAAGUUGAGUCAAAGGCAUGGUAAGAACGCAGACUCUCCAAAGCCCACGACAUAGAUUAUCUAAUGAUUUUUUUAAUUUAUAAAAUUAAAAAAAGAGUUAAUGUUGACUUCGUUUUACCCCAAAAAAAAAAAAAAAGUAUGACACUAUUAGGCAUCAAUUUCAAAAUAACGCGGUUUGAUCAACUCCAAUUUAUGAUGUUAUUAUCAAAUGAUAAAAUUUUCUAAUUUUUAGAAGUCGUUUCUUAUCAAAUAAUCAGGGAUUGAAAUAAAUAGCAUAAAAUAACAAAAAUAAGAAAGUUAAGUUGAUGUCCACUGAUUUGUGUAAGUAAAAAGUUUGACUCUUAAAAAGACAUUAAUUUCAUGAGAGACAAUAACGCCAUUUUGAUCCUCUCUAUAAUUAAUGAUGUUAUUUUCAAAUAACAAAAUUAUCUAGCUUUUGGAAAUCUUGGAGAGAAACUAAUUUGGUCGGUUUCUUGAUUAAUGAUUUGAUGGUCAUCGAAUAAUGCAUGACUUGGAAAGAUCUUCCCCCGUUCUUCAAGUUAUUAUUUGACUUUGUUAGUAAAAGGCCUAUCAGAAAGGUUUUUAAAUUCUGGUCUUCUGAGAUUAAAUUAAGUCACAGUUUAAGUUAUCUCAAGAAUAUGGGUUUGGUCAAAUUUUUCUCAGUUAUCUCAAUAUUGUUGCUAAUUCAUUGGCUAAUCAAAGACACAGUUGCAAAAAUUCCUCUUGGAGAAAAUUGAGGAAAAUCUUCUUGAAGAUGGCUAAAUUAUAAAAAGAUAGUACAUGGUGGCCGGACGGAUUAUAAAUUAAGUAAAUAUAUCUAACUUCGUUAAAAUUAAAGCUUCAUAAGACAUAACUAAUGCUCUGUAUGAUUUUAUUAUUGGCUUCCGAAAUUGCACGAUGGGACAGUUGAAAGCAUUUUCCAUUUACUACUUCUUCGAAUUGACUAGUAUCAUCUUCCACGAUGGUACAGUAGAACGCAUUCUCCAUUGCUAUUUAUUCAAAUGCACUAACCUGGCCUUCUUUUGCAUUGUGUUUAAACUAGUCCCAUUUUAAGGGUUUUUUUUUUUUCUCCUCUCUAUUCUUUUCCCUAUUUCAGGUAAUAACCAGUGAAUUAAUUAUUCCGCCGUUGUUGUUCCUUUUGAUAUAUUCUUUCACAUGGGGUUGUUCAUUUUUCUUGUUUCUUGUUCUUUUUGGAACUUCCAUUGAAGCAAGUAAAGUCAUUUUACUUAUAAGCUGCUGCAAUCUGUUAAAAAUGAUGGCAAUUAAUUAGUUUCUCAUUUUCUUGUUGAUGAAGCCUGUAUAUGAAUAAAUUACGCUCUAGCUUGUCAUUUUGUUAUUCAAACCUUUAUAUGGCAUGUUCUGCUUUCUGUUUUCUUUUUUUUUUUUUUUGUGAGAAAAUUUUCUAAAUACUUAAUUUUUCUUUUUCCCCUGAAUAUCUACAGAAUGAUUGCUAGAACAACGAUGGGCCAAUGGUUCAAUCUUUUAGUAUGUGCACUCUUAAUACUGAAAGCUCAAGCAUGCUUUAAUGUAUCAAUCACCUAUGUUGAAGAUGCUGUAGCGAAAGGAGCUGGUGGGGAUUAGUACAUAUUUAUAUUGAUGCUUCAUUUUGUGAUUUUCGGUUACUGCGUACUGUAGUUUGUUAGCUGUUUAAUAUGUUUUGCAGUCUGUUUGGAUGGCAGCCCACCUGCUUACCAUUUUGAUAAGGGGUUUGGUGCCGGGAUCAACAAUUGGUUGGUGCACAUUGAUGUAAUGUCCUCCUCUAUGUAAAAACAUUUCUUAUAUUCACUGCAACUUUAAAUGAUAUGGAUGAAGAGUAAUCAGUCUUACAUAUUAUAGUCAUAAGAAUUCUGGUGAUGUUUACAUUUACCAUUCAUGCUUGUAUUCAUCAUAUACUUUUUUGUUGAUUCAAUUUGCCUUUGGCUUCGGGUUCUUAGGGAGGAGCAUGGUGUAACAAUGUCGCAGAUUGUUCUAACCGAAGGGAUUCCUCAUAUGGUUCAUCUAAGUAUAUGGUGAAGGAAGCUAAUUUUACUGGGAUACUAAGUAAUGAGCAGAAAUUUAACCCAGGUAUGACCUUUUUGUGUCGCUUAUUGAUUUGAUUGAUGCAAAUCAACAAAUUCCCCUUUCCAUUUCCAGACUUCUACGAUUGGAAUAGAGUCAAGGUUAGAUACUGCGAUGGGGCAUCGUUUACUGGAGACGUAGAGGCUGUCAAUCCAGUAAGUUAACUUUUGCCAACAUUUUCUUAUAUACAUAUUCUUGGGUUCUCUCGUGUGAUAUUUAGUUAGUGAUUUGAUCAGGAAACUAACCUUCACUUCAGAGGAGCAAGGGUUUUUGAAGCUGUCAUGGAGGAUCUAUUGGCUAAAGGAAUGAAAAAUGCUCAAAAUGUAAGAUCAUUCUGUUUUUGUUUUUAAAAAUAUGUUCAUUAGAUUGGUAUGUUUGAUAACUCAUCAGCACUGAUGACAGGCGAUACUUACUGGUUGUUCCGCUGGGGGUUUGACUUCGAUUUUGCAUUGCGAUAACUUCCGAGCUCUCUUUCCCGUUGAUACUAGAGUAAAAUGCUUUGCAGAUGCUGGCUAUUUUGUGAAUGUGUAAGCUCCUGUUCUUUCAUCAACCAUGAUGUGGCAGUUGCUUCAGUUGUUUUUCUUUUCCGAAAUCUGAUUCCCUGGUGUAUUUUUCAAUAGGAAGGAUGUUUCUGGAGCAAGUCACAUUGAGGAGUUUUAUAAACAAGUGGUCGCAUUACAUGUACACACUCUGUCUCUCAUCCUCUUUCAUGCUUACCGACACAAAAUAAUGUUGUUACAUCUUGUGUAGGGAUCGGCUAAGCAUUUGCCAGCAUCCUGCACUUCGAGAUUAAGUCCAGGAUUGGUGAGUUCCACCAUUUUAAUGUUUCUACGUUCUAGUCUUCAUCCAUUCGUUUAUGGACUGACCGAUUCCUUUUAAAAUGACAGUGUUUCUUCCCACAAAACGUAGCAGGGCAAGUCAAGACACCGCUAUUUAUCAUCAACUCAGCUUAUGAUUCAUGGCAGGUUAGCAUAGUUCUUCAAUGUCUAAGAUCCAAUGACAGAAAAUGUGAUACAUAAGCUUAGUGCAAGAAGAUAAUUUUUUGUACUUAAGUGACAUAUCAAGUGAAGCUUGAUUCUUGGGCCUUCUUGCACAAGCAAAAAGAGACUGGUGGAAGAUUGACACAUUUUUGAUAUGUUAUAUUCGAAGCCACUGAAUAAUUUCAAUAAAUUAUGUGCAAUUUCAAUCUGGUAAUAUUGUUACAAGCGGAAAAUGGCAUGCACAGAUAACGAACAUUUUGGUUCCGGACGAUGCUGAUCCGAAAGGAACUUGGAGCAGCUGCAAGGUGGAUCUAAAAACCUGCUCAUCUACUCAGCUGCAAACUAUGCAAGGUAAUUCCCAAAAGCCCCGGAUUACUCCUUUCCACAAAAGACCUUUUCCAUUUUAUUGAUGAUAAUUCAAAGUGUCAAUUCUCGUUGUAUACUUUUCAGGUUUCAGGGUGCAAUUCCUGAAUGCAUUGGCCGAACUUGGCAACUCUUCAUCCAGAGGAAUGCUUAUAGACUCUUGUUAUACUCACUGCCGAACCGAGUAUCAGGAGGCUUGGUUGAGUGCUGACUCGCCGGUGCUGGAUAAAACGGUACGAGUUAUCUGUUUCCUUUAACAUCUUGAAGUACUACUGAUUCCUAUUUGUAAUGAUUGAAAAUAUGUUCUACGCAGCCUAUUGCAAAGGCAGUGGGAGACUGGUAUUACGACAGGAGUCCAUUCCAAAAGAUUGAUUGCCCUUACCCCUGCAACCCAUUGCCAGAGAGUUGCUUUUGAAUGGACCUAUUAAUGUAAUGUACACACACAUAAAAUUACAGAUCUUGUGUCAAAGCAGAACAAAAUUUAAGAGUCAAGAUCAUUGAGUAGUCAUCAAUGAGCUUGACUGAGUAAGAAUAAAAUGGAUAAAGAGUAUAUGAUUGAUUGAUCAAGUCAAUGAAAUAAUUAAACAGAGGCAACCACCGCACUCAACUUAUGUGCUGGGUGUCU